GCCAGUGUGGUGUAGUGGUUUGAGAUUUGGACCAUGACUCUGAAGACCAGGGUUCAAAUCCUUACUUUGCCA